rnacentral:rRNA from 1 species
GAUGAACGCUGGCGGCGUGCUUAAUACAUGCAAGUCGAGCGAACAGACGCGGAGCUUGCUCCUCUGACGUUAGCGGCGGACGGGUGAGAAACACGUGGAUAACCUACCUAUAUGACUGGGAUCACUUCGGGACACCGGCGCUAAUACCGGAUAAUAUAUUGAACCGCAUGGUUCAAUAGAGAAGGACGGUUUUGCUGUCACUUAUCGAUGGAUCCGCGCCUCAUUAGCUAGUUGGUAAGGUAACGGCUUACCAAGGCAACGAUGCGUAGCCGACGUGUGAGAGUGGUCGGCCGCAUGGGAACGGAGACGCGGACCAGGCGCCUACGAGAGGCAGCAGAAGGGUAUCUGCCGCAGUAGGCGAGAACAUGACGGAGCAACGGCACGUGUGUUGUGGAGAUGUUCGGAGCGUAAAGCUCGGUUAUGGGUGAUAAACAAAUGUGGAAGGAAAUAUACACGGCGUGACGGUAACGAAUCAAAAAGCCACGGCUAACUACGUG